rnacentral:rRNA from 1 species
AAUGAACGCUGGCGGUAUGCUUAACACAUGCAAGUCGAACGAACAAAGCUGGAGCUUGCUUCAGUGGCGUGAGUGGCAAACGGGUGAGUAACACGUGGGAAUCUACCCAUCAGUACGGAAUAACAUUUGGAAACAAAUGCUAAUACCGUAUAUUCUCUACGGAGGAAAGAUUUAUCGCUGAUGGAUGAGCCCGCGUAAGAUUAGGUAGUUGGUGGGGUAAUGGCCUACCAAGCCUACGAUCUUUAGCUGGUCUGAGAGGAUAAUCAGCCACACUGGGACUGAGACACGGCCCAGACUCUUACGGGAGGCAGCAGUGGGGAAUAUUGGACAAUGGGCGAAAGCCUGAUCCAGCAAUACCGCGUGAAUGAUGAAGGCCCUAGGGUUGUAAAGUUCUUUUAAUAGGGAAGAUAAUGACGGUACCUAUAGAAAAAGCCCCGGCUAACUCCGUGCCAGCCGCCGCCGUAACAC